GAUGAACGCUGGCGGCGUGCCUAAUACAUGCAAGUCGAGCGAACGGACGCUAAGCUUGCUUCUCUGAUGUUAGCCGCGGGCGGGUGAGUAACACGUGUAUAACCUACCUAUAAUACUGGUAUAACUUCGGGAAACCGGAGCUUAUACCGGAUAAUAUUUUGCACCACAUGGUUCAAAAGUGAAAGACGGUCUUUCUGUCACUUAUAGAUGGAUCCGCGCUGCAUUAGAUAGUUGGUAAGGUAACGGCUUACCAAGGCAACGAUGCAUAGCCGACGUGAGAGGGGGAUCGGCCACACGAGAGCGGGAACACGGACCAGGCUCCUACGGGAGGCAGCAGUAGGGUAUCGGCCGCAAUGGGCGGAAACAUGACGGAGCAGCGCGGCGUGAGAGAUGACGGUCUUCGGUGCGUAAAACUCUGUUAUGAGGGAAGAACAUAUGUGUAAGGAGCUGAGCACAUAGUGACGGUACUGAAUCAGAAAGCCACGGCUAACUACGUG
rnacentral:rRNA from 1 species